rnacentral:rRNA from 1 species
GCUACACAUGCAAGUCGAGCGCGAAAGGCCUUCGGGCUGAGUAGUGCGGCGGACGGGUGAGUAACGCGUAGGAAUCUACCUGGUAGUGGGGGACAACUUGGGGAAACUCAAGCUAAUACCGCAUACGCCCCAUGGGGGAAAGCGGGGGACCUUCGGGCCUCGCGCUAUCAGAUGAGCCUGCGUAGGAUUAGCUAGUUGGUAGGGUAAAGGCCUACCAAGGCGACGAUCCUUAGCUGGUCUGAGAGGAUGAUCAGCCACACUGGGACUGAGACACGGCCCAGACUCCUACGGGAGGCAGCAGUGGGGAAUAUUGCGCAAUGGGGGCAACCCUGACGCAGCCAUGCCGCGUGUGUGAAGAAGGCCUUCGGGUUGUAAAGCACUUUCAAUGGGGAAGAAAAGCGUAGCGUUAAUAGCGUUGCGCCGUGACGUUACCCAUAGAAGAAGCACCGGCUAACUCCGUGCCAGCAGCCGCGGUAAUACGGAGGGUGCGAGCGUUAAUCGGAAUUACUGGGCGUAAAGCGCGCGUAGGCGGUUUGUUAAGUCAGCUGUGAAAGCCCCGGGCUUAACCUGGGAACUGCAGUUGACACUGGCCGACUAGAGUACGAGAGAGGGAGGUAGAAUUCCAUGUGUAGCGGUGAAAUGCGUAGAUAUAUGGAGGAAUACCGGUGGCGAAAGCGGCCUCCUGGCUCGAUACUGACGCUGAGGUGCGAAAGCGUGGGGAUCAAACAGGAUUAGAUACCCUGGUAGUCCACGCUGUAAACGAUGUCUACUAGCCGUUGGGAGACUUGAUUUCUAGUGG